UUAUACGGUUAUUUUGCUUUGAAUGCAUCGCUUCAUGUCUGAUCACCGCAGUUAAACAACGCCGAGCUUGGUUAGUAUUAAGAUGGGUAACCGACUUGGAAAACCUAGGUACAGCAAGCA
rnacentral:rRNA from 1 species